AGAGUUUGAUCAUGGCUCAGAUUGAACGCUGGCGGCAGGCCUAACACAUGCAAGUCGAGCGGAUGAAAGGGGCUUGCUCCUGGAUUCAGCGGCGGACGGGUGAGUAAUGCGCAGGAAUCUACCUAGUAGUGGGGGAUAACGUUUCGAAAGGGGCGCUAAUACCGCAUACGUUCUGAGGAAGAAAGCAGGGGAUCGUAAGACCUUGCGCUAUUAGAUGAGCUUGCGUCCGAUUAGCUAGUUGGUGGGGUAAAGGCCUACCAAGGCGACGAUCGGUAACUGGUCUGAGAGGAUGAUCAGUCACACUGGAACUGAGACACGGUCCAGACUCCUACGGGAGGCAGCAGUGGGGAAUAUUGGACAAUGGGGGCAACCCUGAUCCAGCCAUGCCGCGUGUGUGAAGAAGGCCCUCGGGUUGUAAAGCACUUUAAGCGGGGAGGAAGGCCUGAUGGUUAAUACCCAUUGGGAUUGACGUUACCCGCAGAAUAAGCACCGGCAAACUUCGUGCCAGCAGCCGCGGUAAUACGAAGGGUGCGAGCGUUAAUCGGAAUUACUGGGCGUAAAGCGCGCGUAGGUGGUUGAGUAAGCGAUCUGUGAAAGCCCCGGGCUUAACCUGGGAACUGCAGGUCGAACUGCUUGGCUAGAGUAUGGUAGAGGGGUGUGGAAUUUCCUGUGUAGCGGUGAAAUGCGUAGAUAUAGGAAGGAACAUCAGUGGCGAAGGCGACACCCUGGACCGAUACUGACACUGAGGCGCGAAAGCGUGGGUAGCGAACAGGAUUAGAUACCCUGGUAGUCCACGCCGUAAACGAUGUCUGCUAGCCGUUGGUCUUAUUGAUAAGAUUAGUGGCGCAGCUAACGCAUUAAGUUGACCGCCUGGGGAGUACGGCCGCAAGGUUAAAACUCAAAUGAAUUGACGGGGGCCCGCACAAGCGGUGGAGUAUGUGGUUUAAUUCGACGCAACGCGAAAAACCUUACCCGGUCUUGACAUCCUGGGAACCCUUUAGAGAUAGAGGGGUGCCGCAAGGAGCCCAGAGACAGGUGCUGCAUGGCUGUCGUCAGCUCGUGUCGUGAGAUGUUGGGUUAA
rnacentral:rRNA from 1 species